GGCCGAGGGCUACACACGUACUACAGUGCCGGUACAAAGGGCAGCGACAUUGCGAGAUGGAGCGAAUCCCGAAAAGCCGGUCUCAGUCCGGAUUGGAGUCUGCAACUCGACUCCAUGAAGUUGGAAUCGCUAGUAAUCGUGGAUCAGCAUGCCACGGUGAAUACGUUCCCGGGCCUU
rnacentral:rRNA from 1 species